GUGGGGAAUCUUGCGCAAUGGGCGAAAGCCUGACGCAGCCAUGCCGCGUGAAUGAUGAAGGUCUUAGGAUUGUAAAAUUCUUUCACCGGGGACGAUAAUGACGGUACCCGGAGAAGAAGCCCCGGCUAACUUCGUGCCAGCAGCCGCGGUAAUACGAAGGGGGCUAGCGUUGCUCGGAAUUACUGGGCGUAAAGGGCGCGUAGGCGGAUCGUUAAGUCAGGGGUGAAAUCCCAGAGCUCAACUCUGGAACUGCCCUUGAUACUGGCGAUCUUGAGUGUGAGAGAGGUAUGUGGAACUCCGAGUGUAGAGGUGAAAUUCGUAGAUAUUCGGAAGAACACCAGUGGCGAAGGCGACACACUGGCUCAUUACUGACGCUGAGGCGCGAAAGCGUGGGGAGCAAACAGGAUUAGAAACCCUGGUAGUCC
rnacentral:rRNA from 1 species